GAUGAACGCUGGCGGCGUGCCUAAUACAUGCCAGUCGAGCGAACGGACGAGAAGCUUGCUUCUCUGAUGUUAGCGGCGGACGGGUGAGUAACACGUGGAUAACCUACCUAUACGACUGGGAUAACUUCGGGAAACCGGAGCUAAUACCGGAUGAUAUUUUGAACCGCAUGGUUCAAAAGUGAAAGACGGUCUUGCUGUCACUUACAGAUGGAUCCGCGCUGCAUUAGCUAGUUGGUAAGCUAACGGCUUACCAAGGCAACGAUGCAUAGCCGACCUGAGAGAGUGGUAGCCCGCCCGGGAGCGGAGACAGGGUCAAGACUCCUACGGGAGGCAGCAGACGGGAAUCUUCCGCAAUGGGCGGAAGCCUGACGGAGCAACGCCGCGUGAGUGAUGAAGGUCUUCGGAUCGUAAAACUCUGUUAUUAGGGAAGAACAUAUGUGUAAGUAACUGUGCACAGCUUGACGGUACCUAAUCAGAAAGCCACGGCUAACUACGUG
rnacentral:rRNA from 1 species